UAUGGCCUACGGGGGGCAGCAGUGGGGAAUAUUGCACAAUGGGGGAAACCCUGAUGCAGCGACGCCGCGUGAGUGAAGAAGUAUUUCGUUAUGUAAAUCUCUAUCAGCAGGGAAGAAAAUGACGGUACCUGAGUAAGAAGCCCCGGCUAACUACGUGCCAGCAGCCGCGGUAAUACGUAGGGGGCAAGCGUUAUCCGGAUUUACUGGGUGUAAAGGGAGCGUAGACGGCGGUGCAAGUCUGGAGUGAAAGGCGGGGGCUCAACACCCGGACUGCUCUGGAAAC
rnacentral:rRNA from 1 species